GAGUUUGAUCCUGGCUCAGGAUGAACGCUAGCGGCAGGCUUAAUACAUGCAAGUCGAGGGGUAACAUGGAGUAGCAAUACUUUGAUGACGACCGGCGCACGGGUGCGUAACGCGUAUGCAACCUACCUACUAUUGUGGAAUAACCCGGAGAAAUUCGGACUAAUACCGCAUACAAUAUUCGGAUGGCAUCGUUUGAAUAUAAAAGAUUUAUCGAUAGUAGAUGGGCAUGCGUCCCAUUAGCUAGUUGGUGAGGCAACGGCUCACCAAGGCGACGAUGGGUAGGGGAUCUGAGAGGAUAAUCCCCCACAUUGGUACUGAGACACGGACCAAACUCCUACGGGAGGCAGCAGUAGGGAAUAUUGGGCAAUGGUCGAGAGACUGACCCAGCCAUGCCGCGUGCAGGAAGACGGCCUUAUGGGUUGUAAACUGCUUUUGUAUCAGAGUAAAGUCAGCCUCGUGCAGGUUGAGUGAAAGUAUGAUACGAAUAAGGAUCGGCUAACUCCGUGCCAGCAGCCGCGGUAAUACGGAGGAUCCGAGCGUUAUCCGGAUUUAUUGGGUUUAAAGGGUGCGCAGGCGGAUGAGUAAGUCAGUGGUGAAAUUUCUGGGCUCAACUGAGAGACUGCCAUUGAUACUGCUUGUCUAGAUUAUAGAUGGCGUAGGCGGAAUAUGUCAAGUAGCGGUGAAAUGCGUAGAUAUGACAUAGAACACCGAUCGGGAAGCCGGCUUACGAAGCUAUGAAUGACGCUCAUGCACGAAAGCGUGGGGAUCAAACAGGAUUAGAUACCCUGGUAGUCCACGCAGUAAACGAUGAACACUCGUUGCCGGCGAUAGAUGGUCGGUGGCCAAGCGAAAGUGAUAAGUGUUCCACCUGGGGAGUACGUUCGCAAGUAUGAAACUCAAAGGAAUUGACGGGGGCCCGCACAAGCGGAGGAGCAUGUGGUUUAAUUCGAUGAUACGCGAGGAACCUUACCCGGACUUGAACGCAGGGGGAAUAUGUAUGAAAGUACAUAGCCAGCAAUGGCCGCCUGCGAGGUGCUGCAUGGUUGUCGUCAGCUCGUGCCGUGAGGUGUUAGGUUAAGUCCUGCAACGAGCGCAACCCUUACCCUUAGUUACCAGCGUGCAAGACGGGGACUCUGAGGGAACUGCCCGCGCAAGCGUGGAGGAAGGUGGGGAUGACGUCAAAUCAGCACGGCCCUUACGUCCGGGGCGACACACGUGCUACAAUGGCCGGUACAGAGGGCAGCUACACUGCGAAGUGAUGCGAAUCUCGAAAGCCGGUCUCAGUUCGGAUCGGAGUCUGCAACUCGACUCCGUGAAGUUGGAUUCGCUAGUAAUCGCGCAUCAGCCAUGGCGCGGUGAAUA
rnacentral:rRNA from 1 species